GGCGUUUAUGCGAUAGAUCCGACGUACACGACCACAGAUAAUAAUUAUUGUUCACGAACCUUUCCCGUCCCUUUGACAGCUGUCACCUGUCAGCUGUCACUCUGUCCAUGAUUCUUGUACAAUUUUCAAGCGCACAAGCAAGUUGAAUAAUUAUCGAUUGUAAUCUUUGUAAUACAAAAUUCAUAAGUCACAAAAGGUUUUUAAUUUGCAAAUCCAUGUUAGGACGACAAAGUUCUUAACAUAUUUUGGACCUUCUUCGACGGAUUCCUGCUACUUGCACAAAACGAAACCAGCGAACUUUGGAGACCGGCGUGGUUGGAGGAAGGCGCGUAUGCAGAAUAAUCCCAAGGAUAUACUCAAUUUACGCGAGGGAGGAUCCAAAGGAAUCAAGGAUACUAAAGAGGAUCAUCAGUUGUGUGCCGGCGCAAGCAUAGACUGAUAUUAUACAGAUACGUUGCAUUCGCAGCAAAAUUGAGGAAAAUGUGCCCGAAUCUUGUCUCGAAGAACAAUUAUUGCAGCGUGAACAAUUCGAGAAUAAUUAUUACAGUGCACAGGCUAGUGCCGAGUCCUUAUUAAAUGCUAGAACAUCUGCUACAAGCUCUCAGUGUCAAGGCCAGCAUAAUAAUCCAUUACAAACUAUAAGAUUACCUACUAUCACUUUGCCCGAGUUCGAUGGUAUGUAUGAGAGUUGGCUCGAGUUUCGAGACACUUAUAUGUCAUUAGUUCAUAAUUCAUCAGAGCUUAGCAACAUUCAAAAAUUCCAUUAUCUCAGAUCUUCGUUGAGAAGUAGUGCAUUAUUAGUUAUAAACUCAUUAGAACUAACUUCCGAUAAUUACAUUGUUGCAUGGGAACUUUUACAAAGCAGGUAUAACAAUAAUAGAUUAUUAAUUCAAAAUCACAUCAAGUCUAUAUUUAAUAUGCAACCAAUAACCAAGGAAUCUCAUUUAUUAAUUAGGAAUUUAAUUGACAGCACAUUAAGGAAUUUACGAGCUCUGAAAAUAUUGGGCGAGCCCACGAAUUUCUGGGAUGCUCUUAUCAUAUUCAUUGUUGUUUCAAAACUUGAUAAAAUAACCGAGCGUGAAUGGGAACAGCACAAAGAGAAUAUUGAGCUGGCGGAUCCCAACUUUCUGGAGUCACAAGAUAUAGAUAUUUUGCUUGGCGCAGAGAUGUUCUGGGAUCUACUCACUCACGGAAAAAUAAGGCUACCUAAUGGACCUUAUUUGCAUAAUACUUUAUUCGGCUGGAUAAUAUCCGGUGCAAUAUAUCAUAAAUCACUAAAUGAUAAUGCUGGUCAUAUCCAGUGUAAUUAUACACAAACGAUGGAUGCGCUAUUACGACAAUUUUGGGAACUU